GGCUGGGUAGCUCAGUUGGUAGAGCAACGGACUGAAAAUCCGUGUGUCAACGGUUCGAUCCCGUUCCCAGCCACCA
rnacentral:tRNA from 2 species